UUGAUAGACACACAACUCCUUAUGUGCUCCUUUUUAACUACUUAUAAUUACUUUUUUAAACUGAGAGAUACAUGAGGAAGUUAGCUCAUCAAAUCUUAAUUGCUGUUGAUCAACUUAGUACCUCACUUAUUAGGAUUGAUUAGGGUUUCUUUGCAAUAUAGAAAACCCCGUUUGUUUUACUGAUCAGUAACUCGGCACCUGAUCAAUGGCAUCUCUUCAUAUUUCUAUUUCCUUUGAUGCUUUGGUUCCUAAUUUCUCAAGGUCUUUUCAAGAACAUUUCAAUUGCAAGCACUGAAGCUUUAAGUGUGGACACUGAAGAACUCGAGACCCCUUUUAAGCGGACAAAAAUAGUGUCUAGGGUGUGGGAAGUUUUUGAGAAACUUCCAAUGUUACCAAAUGGAGAUAUGAAGGCUAUGUGUAAGUCUUGUAAGAAAGUUUAUUCAGCUAAACCAUCUGGUGGUACUUCUCAUUUGAAACGUCAUAUGGAAGCAUGCAUCAAGCGAGUUAAUCAUGCAAUAAAGGAAUCUACAUUUUCUCCUGAUAAUUUGACAGAUGGAAUACAUACUUAAAGAAUGCUAGAUUUGAUUUGGAUGAGAUUCAUAGGGCCGUAGGAAUGAUGGUCGUCCUUGAUGGAAAACAAUUGAGGAUGGUUGAAAAUGUAGGUUUUAGAGCUCUAGUGGCUGUUGCACGCCCUGAAUUACAAAUGAUGAAUGCAAGGAACAUUAAAAAGGAUAUAAUGUCCAUAUAUGCCAAUGAGAAGGAAAAUGCUUUUGCUUUGCUGGCAACAUGCCCUGGUCGAAUAUUUUUAUCAUCUUGUAGGUGGAAGUCUAGUGCUGACGAUCAUUAUAACUGUGUAGCUGCACACUAUAGACCAUGAGUGGAAAUUACAGAAAAGGAUUUUGCGAUUCAAACUCAUUCCACCUCCAUAUGAUAGUUUGUCUAUUUGAGAUGAGAUAACGCCAUGUAUGAUCCAAUGGAAUAUUGAACACAAACUUUUGAGCAUUACAUUGGAUUGCUUGUCAGUUGAUGCUUGCGUGGCUUCCAUGCUUAAGUCACGUCUUGAUGCGAAGAAGUAUCUUCCUUGUAAUGUUAUGCUUUUUAACUUACGUUGUUUUGCCCAAAUUAUGGAUUCAAUUGUACAAGCUGGUUUUGAUCUCAUCAAGGAAAUCAUUGGAAAACUCCGUCUUGGUGUUAAGUACGUGAAACAAUCUCCACAUAGGAGAAAGAACUUAUAUAUCAUUGCUAAAACUUUGGAUUUGAAAACUAGAGAAAAGUUGUGUAUUGAUUGUCCAUCUAGGUGGGAGUUCUUUAUACCACAUGCUUGAAAUUGCUUUCAAAUAUAAGAGGGCAUUUCUUUACUUGGGGAAACAGGACAGGAAGUAUAUGUACACCCUAUCAGAAUAUGAGUGGGAAAAAGUUAGUAUCUUGUGCAAAUUUUUGAAGGCCUUCUAUGAGGUAGCUCACAUGUUCUCAAGAAAUAGAUAUCUGACUGCUAAUUUGUAUUUCAGGGGGUUGUGGAAGAUUCAUAAGAACUUGUUGGAAGUAGUGACUGGCCCAGAAAAUUUCAUGACCUGUGUGGUAAAGGAAAUGUUAUUGAAAUUCAUUGGUCAGAAUGUAGCCUGACAUUGUCAUGUGCUGCAAUCUUGGAUCCACGAUACAAGGUCAAGUUUAUUGAGUACUGUUAUACUAAACUUUAUUGCAGUGAUGCUCAACAGUAUAUUGUUACCAUUGUUGACAGUCUUCAUAAGUUGUUUAGUGAGUGCAUAAAGGACUCGUCUUCCUUUUCUGGCAUUAGUGCUGUUACCUCUAAUGUCUCUUAUGAUGGAUAUUACAGCGAUGAGUUUGAAGAUUACAAGACAUUCCAAAGUACCAGUUUUCAGAAUCAAGUGAAGAGGUCUGAGCUGGAUAUUUAUUUAGAAGAGCCCAGCCAUGAUCUGAGUAGUGAAAUUGAUGUCCUAGAAUAUUGGAGGUCACGCUCAGUGAAAUAUCCAGAGCUUUCAAAAAUGUCUCGUGAUAUUUUGACAAUUCCAUUAUAGACAAUUGCUUUGAAUAGCAUGUUUAAUAUGGGUUGUCCAGUGAUAAGCCCUUGUCAAAAUUCGCUAAAAGAAAAGACUUUGCAAGCCUUUAUUUGUCUUCGAGAUUGGCUGCAGCCAUAUGAUAGUGCAAGUAAUUCAACUUUGCAUUUGCAGCCUUAAGUUUCUACGUUCUCAUGCGUAAAAUCUUACUCAUUUACAACUUCUCUAGCGCAUUCUGGCUAUAUGGAAAGCCUGGCUGAUGAAGAAAGCUCCAGUUCAAAUGAAGGGGAUGAUGAUGAUGUUGAUUACGAGCUCUAAAUUAUGUCACUUUUAUAUAAAAUGAGAUUAUAUAGAAAGUUUAGUUGAUGUUUUUGGUUUAUA